rnacentral:rRNA from 1 species
UAGGGAAUCUUCCACAAUGGACGCAAGUCUGAUGGAGCAACGCCGCGUGAGUGAAGAAGGGUUUCGGCUCGUAAAGCUCUGUUGUUAACGAAGAACGUGGGUAAGAGUAACUGUUUACCCAGUGACGGUAUUUAACCAGAAAGCCACGGCUAACUACGUGACAG